AACGAACGCUGGCGGCAUGCCUAACACAUGCAAGUCGAACGAGACCUUCGGGUCUAGUGGCGCACGGGUGCGUAACGCGUGGGAACCUGCCUUUAGGUUCGGAAUAACAGUGAGAAAUUACUGCUAAUACCGGAUGAUGUCUUCGGACCAAAGAUUUAUCGCCUUUAGAUGGGCCCGCGUUGGAUUAGCUAGUUGGUGGGGUAAAGCCUACCAAGGCGACGAUCCAUAGCUGGUCUGAGAGGAUGAUCAGCCACACUGGGACUGANACACGGCCCAGACUCCUACGGGAGGCAGCAGUGGGGAAUAUUGGACAAUGGGCGAAAAGCCUGACGCAGCCAUGCCGCGUGAACGAUGAAG
rnacentral:rRNA from 1 species